GGUUCUUCUGAUGUCUAAAUGUUCCUGUUUGUUUAAGGACAAUGAAGUCAUACCUAAGGACAUUGGGCCUAAGACUGAAGCGCCUACUGGGAAUAUGAAGAGGCCAUGGCUGGGGCAAGUGAGUUCUUCACCCCCAUUCUCAGGCCCAGUUUGUUUCACCGAAGCUGCAUGUUCUCGGGUUUGAAGAUGAGGAUACAUGGAGGUCAGGCCCCAGUUCAGCCAGCCUAGUGUUGUGUGCAGUGCCAGAGCAGCCACAGAUCUGGCCUCAUGGUGGGAACAGCUGAGAUGUUUCACACAACUUGAGGCCUUCAUCUGGAUGCAGAGAGUAGUAUG
rnacentral:lncRNA from 1 species